rnacentral:tRNA from 1 species
GUGGGCGUAGCUCAGUUGGUAGAGCACUGGAUUGUGGUUCCAGCUGUCGAGGGUUCGAUCCCCUUCGCUCACCCCA